CGGUGCCUGAGGCGGGGGUUGCGGGGCUUUCCUGAGGUGGGAAUGGUGGAGCCUUUCCUGAGGCGGGAGGGGCCGCCGCGCGUGCUCCCGGGGGCGUGGCCGUGGUACGUGCGCUCCGUUGUCAUUGGCGCCGCACCCGGAAGAGCCGCUGGCGCCUGCGCGCUGGGGCCGCCGCCCUGCAUCCCCGUUCCGCUGAGGAGAUGGAGGCGGCGGCGCGGCGGCGGCCGCGGGAGCCGGAACCGCAGGAGCGGGAGCAGGACGAUGGUGGGCAGGUGAUGUCACGAUCCCUAUCGGGACAGUCCUACUGGCUGGACCUGUGGCUCUUCAUCCUCUUCGACGUGGCGCUUUUCCUGCUUAUCUACCUGCUGCCCUGAGGGCGCGGCCCAGGGCCAUUGCCACCGAGGGAAUUCUCACCUAUUUCGCACCUUAUGAACACAGGCCGUGGAAGAAGAGGAGCAUUUAUGCGGGAUAAGCAACUGGGAACACGGCUCCACUUGAAUGUGGAUGGAGGAGGCACAUUUUUGUACUGUAGUGUGGUAGAGCUCUGUGUGUCACAAGGGUUUCUGUUCGGGUUUUGCCCGUGUCCUGUUGGUGUGUCCUGAGCUGUGCCUUAGAGGUCCCGUACGACAGACUGACCGUGCUUUGUGAUCAGUGCCUAAAGGUUUGUUGGUCGGACAUGGAAGUAUGCACUGUGCCAAUAAAAUCCACUGAAAGGACACUCUGCGGAGUGGCUGAGAAUAAAACCAAGCUCUUCUGUACACCGAAGUUGUAACUCAGACCUGUUCCCUCAACAGAUGAAGCUUGGCCAGCUGUUCUGCUUCCAAAAACUUAAUCCUAAUGGGUUGAUGCUGGUUGGUUUUCUAUGAUACGUUUCUGUUUUUUCUUUCUUUACUUUCAGCAGUUACUGAACCCUCUCAGGCUCAGUAUUUAUAGAUAUAAAUAUAUACAUGUAUAAACACGUCGGUGUUUAACCCAGCAGCAGGGUCCUGUCCUCACUUACUGAUUAGGAUAAAUCAGGUUCUGCUUUCCUUGCUAGAAACUGUGAAGGAGGAGCUUACAAGAGCAGCCUUGAGUCACUGGCAGAUGACACAUGAAGCUCCCUCCUCCUCAACACCCAUGGAUGGUAGGAGUAGACAGUGACAGGUAAUUAAAAUGUUUCAACAUCAAUUUCCUCUGUCUCACCAGAGGGAGGCUUUAAAACUUGUGUUAAAGGGAGGAGUCUUUUGCAGACUUUGGAGAAAGAAGCAGAAGCUGGGCACAUGGAAUGAAUUUUUUGCCAGGGCACGUUUGGGGGAAGACAGCUUUCAAGCAAUGGAUGAAGGAGAUUGAGUUUUCUUUAGCAUUUUUCCCUUGGGAAUACUAAUUUCUAAUUCUGAGAAGUACAAUCCAGACUUGGUGGAUUUUUGCUUUGUUUUUAUUUGGUUUGUUUUUUUUCCUUCCCAGGAGUUAUAUAAUAGAAUAACUGGAUUGCAGAGACUUGGAAGUGCCGAGUGCAGACACUUGGUUCAGUGUCUUCCCACACAAUAAAUGAAAGUGGGCCAGGAUGAGGUGAAAUAGGAUUGGGGAUGCAAAAAUAGACAGAUGCUCUUUAAUUUUUAUUUUGAAGACAGGUUGUUUCAUGUGUCAGCCCUGUGCUGUAAGAACAGAGAUGCUGUGCCCUGCUGGCAUUUAUCAUCGUGGCUGCUGGUACCUGUGACAUCAGGGUGGUUUCAGAGGUCUUGACUCAAGGUGCACAGGAGCCCUGAACUGUGACUGCAUUCUCACCAACACCAGAGUGGGGGUUCCAGUUUCUGAAUGAGGCCAUUAAAGAGACAAGUUCACUACAUUCACUACCUGUUUUUACCCCCCUUCUGGCAUGAUAUCACAAGUGAAAUCUCCCAGGAACAACCUAUCAGGAAAAGACUGUAAUGUUAUUCCAUUUUAUUUUUUUUGAUAAGGAAGACAGGUGAGAUUUAAAGGCUGUUAAAGCUUAGAAAGUUGAAUUUCAAGCUAUUUUCCACUAAUUUAGUUUUUUCCUUUAGCCAGAUCCUACAUUAAAGGUUUUGCUUAUCUCAGGAAACAUAAGAGCUUACAAAGGCUUGUGCUGCACUGGGCUCCAGCUCUUCCAUAGGCACAGGGAGCCCUUAAGAACAGAGAUCCAGGUAAAUUUUGCUUAUCCCUAAUAAAGAUAGUGAAGUAGCUCAUGUAUCUGUCCAUCACUUGUCACCAAGUCUGUGGGAUUAUGAUAUAAAAAUGGCUUUGCAUUUCAUAGCUGUUUAAAAAGCAUAAUCUAUUUAAUAGCUUUAUGAACAAAUACUUCAGAAGAUGACUUUUACUUUCAGAAAAGGCAACCAUCUCCACAAAAACUUUAAGCCAUUAGUUUGCAGCAUUAUCUGUCAUGUUAAAAACGUUGUUCUGGAAAGCCAACUUUUUUUGGUUUUUUAAACAGGAAACACAAAAAGAACACACAACAAAGAUUUUAAAUUUUUAUCUUGAUAUUUUGAACAAGUAGAACUUUACAAGUAAAUAAUUCUAAAGACUGAAAAAUAUAUUAAUUACAAGACUCAUGAAUAUCUUUACUGUUACAAAAAUUGUCUAGGCUCUUAUACAAAUCUAUAGCUGGAGGGGGACAUUUAUAAAAAAAUAAAUAGGCACCCUAGGUAAGUUAAAACGAGUUAUCACAUAUUAGCAAAUAUUACAUACAUACAUACAUGGAGUGCAGAGGCAAAUAUAAAAAUGAAGGUGCCUUGAUUAGCUGUCUGUUUAAUCAUGAAAUACCUGGUAAACAUGGGGCACAGAGGAAGCUGUCUGGUAAGAUUGCUCCAAGCUAAGCAAGGAAACUGAAGUACACCUAAGUUACUGCAGCUACUUUAGAGAGGAGUUUACCAGUUGUGCUUACUGGGAGCAGGGUUCAUUGGUAUCAGUAAGAGGCAUUCAUAUUGCUCAUUGUACAGAAGUAUCAACAUUGCUAUGCAUGUUUAAAAAUAAGUGUUCUAGCAUCAUUCACAGUUAUUGCUGUGCUAUCCAUACAUAAAAAUACUGUCAUUUCAAAUACAAGUUUUUUUUUUUGCAAAACAGUUUACAAAUUAUACAUUAUUUACAAAUUCCAAUAAUCUUGGUUUUUACACAGGUAUUAGAGGACAGUUGUACUUAAGUGGCUAUGUAUAUUAUGUAACAUGGCUAGAUGAACUAGAAAAGUUUAAUUUACAGGUUCUGAAAUCUCUCAAAAAAUAUUACAAUAGGAAUCACCCAAGUUCUUACAUUUUUAGUGUUCUUCUGUAUUCAAUUAAUUUUCCUACAAAAGGAUCAUUGUUUAAGUUGCUGUUUACUAGCAGCCAUACAGAAACAUGCAUAGUAUUUUCACUAUCAAUUCUAGAAUUCAUUUUUUCCCCAAGUGCUACAACAAAUUUUGAUCAAGAAGGUAGAAAGGUUAAUCUGAGACACCUGGUUUGUUGCAUACAUAUAAUGUUCCAGUUCUACUGAAAGGUACGUGUUAUUUAAAAGAAAAAAAAAAAACCUGACCUUGCCACGGAAUAACCAAAACUACUGCUUAAAUGUUUCCUUGGAUAAUCAUGCUAAACAAUUGCCAUCAUUUGGUUGAAGCACUAAAACACAUGUACAUAAGGUUAUGAACAUGAAAAAAAGCUUUUCUGGUUUGUUCUUACUUUCAUAAUAAAAGGCAUUGAUGUUUAGGUGUAAUCAGCAGCACCCCAAGUUAACACUCCAAUGUGAAUAAUGGAAAAAUUUUACCUUUUUAGGUUGUGCCAGGCUUGGCUAUGCUGCCUCAGCACUCAGUAGAUGGUUCUGUGCACUGAUUUAACUAACCAGAUAAAAGCUAAAUACAUCUUCCUCCUUGUUACUGAGAUAAGUCAGGUUAACAAAAUACAAGGUAAAUUCCAGAGCUGCCUAAACUGGAGACAGAGUGACAGAACAGAGAAAGAGGAAACUCUUCUUUCCAUGCCCCCUUAACCACCAGUCUGGCUGCACAUUCAGCCUGACCUGCUAAUGCAGACCAUAUCCAUGUGUAGGACUGAUCCAAAUGGGAAAACAUGUUAGUAAAAAAAAGGAAAAAAGUCAAAUGUGUGAUCCCCAUGAACCUGGAAAAAAAGGGGGAGUUUAUUAAAUAGCAGCAUUGACUUUGCAUGCAAUUGUAGAAUAAGUCAGAACUGAACCUAAGUAGGAAUUACUUCUAAAAUGUUACAAAAUUAAUCUUUCAUAGUUGCAUAACUCUGUAUUUAAAAUUAGCAUCCUAUUCUGUUAUACUGGUUUGUAACUUAGGAAGUUAAAUUUAAUAAGUUAAAGUAUACAGCUUAAAGGAUGAGCAAAUCUGAUAAAUGUGUUUAAAAACAUACACUAACAGAGCAGAGGUAUUAAUAGGAAAGCAUUACUGCAGUUUACUUCAAUUCCCUUUGAAAGUCUAAUUUAACACUUGCAAACCAAAAUGGUUUUUAAAGAAGUAUUAUUAUUAAGGCUUUCCAAAUAAAAAAUAAAUCCUCUAGGUAAACUUGCAUUAAAGACACUUGAAGGUUUGUGAAAGCACAGACUCUGAGAGACAUCGCUUGAAAAAACCAUGUCACCUCCUGCUACCUCUGAGGAUAAAUACUGCUCUGUUAUGACUUCGUGCACUGCAUUAGUUGUGGUAGCACGCUUAUCCCUUUUGUUAGUCUAAGAACAGUGACCACAGUGUGAAGGAACACUUCUUGCACUGCAGCUAACCACAUCUUCUUACAGAAUGAGUAACAUCCAGCCGAUCCCUCUGCUGCAAGGUGUGCAUGCCCAAGGGACCGCAUGGAAUACAAACUGCAGAAGACAAGCUGAGUAACAGAGGACAGCCAUGCACGGUUAAAACCAGACGCCGGCUCGAUUGGGAAUUUUGGCUCUACGUUCUCUGCAAACCUAAAAAUGGGACACACAAACCCUGCUCAGCUGGAGCCCAGCAUCCUUAUCAACGGGUCAUUAAGAGCAGAGCAAUACAUGAAAGGUAAUUGUGUUCUAAAAUUUAAACCAGUCUGCUUUUAAGAUUUACAGACAUCUAUUUUCACAUCUGGGUAGUCAAUCCAGAUUUUCCAGAGAUGAACAUCCAUUCUACAGGUAAGACUAAGCCCACAGGUAGGACCGGUAAGGUCUUGUCUAAUACAGCUCCAUUUACACAGAGCAUGUGCAAAAAUGUGCCAAGUCCAGCUUCUGUGGGGAAAAAAUACCAAAUGAAAAUAAAUGCAAAACCCCUACAAAUACCUCCAACAAAAACUCAACUCCACAUUAAAUGCAACUUCCUCUUUAAAGGUUUUAGCUACACGUUUCCAGGAUUUUUUUUUAACAUUUCUUAAGUUGUCAAUAAAAAACCCAGCAACAAAGCAGCAUACUUAUUCAAACAAAUAUUUGUGAGCAAAUUCCUCUCUCUUAGCCCAAACAUUUUCUGUAUUCAGUCAAAAAAACAGGCAAACUUAUUGGAAGUUUUGGAAAUGUGGAAUAACAGCCUCCCAGUCAAGGAAGUAUGUUGUAACUUAUCCAAAAUGGAGUAUUAUUUCUGAAAUACAGUGAGCAAUCUUCUUUUUAAAAAAGUAAAAAAAAUCCUUUUAUUCUAGAGACUUUACUUUCGGAGCAACAUUCAGUUGCAAAAGCUUCCAUAGGUAUCUUUAUUUUAUCAUUUUAAGACACUAGUAAAGUCUUUGUUUCUCUUUCAUGGUAAGUUAACUAAGUAGCUACAAAGCUUUAAUUCUCUACUCAUUUCUUUCCACUUGACAUUAAUGUACAUUGACUGCACCAUAAGGGUAAGAACUGGAUUUCCUUAAGAGCAGUUGCAUGUUUUAAAUUAUUACUAUAAAUUUACAGUUUUCCUAAGUAUAUAAGCUGUCUUUUUCAGUUGUGGUUGGCUUGUGGGGUUUUCUGAAGUGACACAUAAGCCAAGGCAAUUUGGAUUUUUCUUACACACUAACCAGAUCUUCAGAAUGAUUCUAGAUUUCAGUAUGAGUUGUCCCAUGCAAUUGAACUGAACAAUGGGAAAACCAUUAAAAAACAACAGGAAAACCAUCAAAAUUAGUAAUCUUUCCUGAACUUGCAGAACACGAGGUUGGAAAUUUUGCCUUCACACUGCUCAUGUCUCAAGUUCUUUGUACUCAAAAAAAAUUUUGCCUCCUCAGCUCACCAAGUUCAAACUUUCAUAAACACAAAGCGAUUAACAUAAAUCAUGGAUACUACAUCUGCUUACUCAAUGUUUACAUUUUCCUCCCAAAAUCUGACCACACAAUUUAGGGAUUGGCUUUGUGGGACCUUUGCUUUGGUACUACAGUUAUCCACUGCUUACUGUCCAUGUAAGGAGCAGCCACUUGCUGUCCCAAUCACCAUGUGAUCCAGUGUUUCCAUCUUUAUAAUGUUCUGACAAGAAGUUUAUUUUUGUUAAGUCAGGGACAGAAUUCCACAAGUGUCUAACAGUAGCCUCAUUCAGCUCCAGUAAAAAACAAGGAGCUGGUAAAGCACAGUUAUACAAACGGUGAGCAUAAUUAGAAGUCCAACACUGUUUCCAUAAGAAGUUUUCCACACAAGAAAACCACUCAGACAUAUUUUUUUUUGGAGUUGCCAUGAGAGCCUAACAAAGAUUUCUUACAUUCCAUUCCUCUCUCAGAAAGGACUGAGCCUUUGUUUUUUAAAGUCCUAUUUUCUGGGAGUCUGUCUGGUAUUUACCUACCAAUCCCUGUCUCGUUCAUCAUAUUCAGAGGUGGAACACAAGGUAAUACAUCUGAUACCUCUAAAGGACUGCUGUUAUCCUUGCUAAAGGUGUCCUGACAUACUUUUUGACAGCCCAAAAACUGAGUCCAAAUAAAUUCUUAACCUCACAUAAAUGUAAAAUUAUCAGAUUCUUCAGAUUUCUUUUUGGCCCAUUGAUCACUUCCAUUAGAAGUAUUAUUUUCCAAAAUGGAGCUGAAUACAUGCCUUUUUUUAUAAGAAGCUAUUUAACAAUUAGUUCUGAAUUAGAAUAAUUGAAUAGAUGGGAUCCUAUCAUCAAUUUCUUUAUGAUACCUUGGAGGAUCACAUAGAAUCACUAUACUUCUGUAAAGAAAAUGUAGGAUGCAUGUUGAAAGCUUUAAGUAUUAUCAAGUACUCUCUCCAGAGAGCAGUUCAUUGCUUUAACCCACUCAUUUUUCAUGCCUAAGGAGCUUUUUAGUUUUUUGAUUUUUAAGUAUUUUUCACUGGAUUUUUUUUCCCUUUUUCCUAUCAAACUUUGGUAAGAAUGGUAUAGUACAGAACUGAAGCAGAAUAAAUCUCAUGCAAGUCAGAUCUUUUUGUUCCAUGCUACUAAAUUUUGAUUGUUUGUUUGUUUGUUUUGGGUUGUCAAAAUAAGCAAAUAUGAAAUUAGUUCUUUCUGCGCUAAAAAAUAAAUUAGAAUAAGGACAGAAAAGGUAGAAGUGGUAUGGCAACACCCCAACCCCCACUUUAAGUCCUAGGAGAAACUAUACUAUACAUUAUUUGAAAAGAAGUAUGAUAUCUAUAAAAAUCAAAUGUUUCCUGAGGAAGUGGCCUAAUAUUUAUUGCCCCUCUUUGUACAAGCACCCUCCCAUUGUUUCAACAACAGCAGAUAAUGAUUUUGGCUGGCCUCAUGCUGACCUAUAAUAUUUAUAUGCCAAGGCAUUUAUCAACUUUAUAAAACCCCAGCAGACACAUUAGUAUGUAAAAGGAAGUAGACUUCCUUAUUACAAGUGUUUCUUCCUGAUACUGCUUCAUAUCUGUGAGGAAAACAAAUGGUGCCACAGUCCACCCAGACAUUUAAAAAAAAAAAAAGUCUUGCUUAGUAUCCACCAAGAAAUGUCCUAGAGAAGCUUCUGGGGAAACCACAGGGAGUGAACCAAAUUACCAUGUCAUCCGUUAGGAAUUUUUGGUUUUGGGGCUGAGGGGAAGAGAAAUUCCGGUAUAUCUACAAUAGUUUUUGAAAACUUAAUUUUUAUGUG